GAAAUGCGAUAAGUAAUGUGAAUUGCAGAAUUCAGUGAAUCAUCGAAUCUUUGAACGCACAUUGCGCCCGCCAGCAUUCUGGCGGGCAUGCCUGUUCGAGCGUCAUUUCAACCAUCGAGCCCCCGGGCUUGUGUUGGGGACCUGCGGCUGCCCGCAGGCCCUGAAAACCAGUGGCGGGCUCGCUGUCACUCCGAGCGUAGUAGUAUCACCUCGCUCAGGGCGUGCUGCGGGUUCCGGCCGUUAAACGACCCAUUUACCCCCAAGGUUGACCUCGGAUCAGGUAGGAAUACCCGCUGAACUUAA
rnacentral:misc_RNA from 1 species